UAAAAGGAGUUUGAAUUUUAAAUUUUCUCGAAUUUAUAAGAGCUAAGAAUAUAUAAAUUUUAAUGUAGAAGAAUUAUUUAUAAUAUAUUUUUUGAUAUUAUACGUUAGUCGGGUAUAAAUAUAUCUAGUUUUUUAAGAAAUUAAUUUAAUUAAGCUAAUUGUAGGGGUGAUUUAUUUUGUAAAUAUACCUAAUAAUUAAGUAAUAUUUAAGGGGAUAAGCUUUUAAGUAGAAGUUUAAAAGAAGUUUAUAUUUUAAAGUUGAAUAGGAAUAGAAGUUUUCAUUUUUUGUAGUGUUUUAUAUCAAGACUUUAAUUUAAGUGAUUUGUUUUUUUUUAGUUUGUUUAUUAAAAUAUUAAAAUUAAUUUGAUAGUUUUAGGUAAUAAUGAUAAAAUUAGUAUAGGAAUUUGUUUAAGUGUUUAUGAAUAUAAAUUUUAAUUAAGGAAUUCGGCAAAUUUAUUUUCUGCCUGUUUAUUAAAAACAUGGCUUUUUGGGAAUAAUUUAAGGUCAGGCCUGCCCCAUGAUUAAUUAAAUGGCCGCGGUACUCUGACCGUGCAAAGGUAGCAUAAUCAUUAGUUUUUUAAUUGAAAGCUGGAAUGAACGGUCUUACAAGAAAAUUACUGUCUCAAUUAAAUGAUUUUAGAAUUUUAUUUUUUAGUUAGAAAGCUAAAAUGUUUUUAGGGGACGAGAAGACCCUAUAGAAUUUAAUAAGGUUUUUUUAGAUUGUGUUUUUGGUUUAAUUAUUUUGGUUUAGUGGAACUUAUUUUGUUGGGGUGAUUGAAAAAUUUAGUAAACUUUUUUUUUUAUAAGAUUACUAAUAUGUAUAUUUAUGAUCCGUUUUUUACGAUUAAAAGAAUAAAUUACCUUAGGGAUAACAGCGUAAUUAGUUUGGAGAGUUCUUAUCGAUAAACUAGUUUGCGACCUCGAUGUUGGAUUAAAAUUAACUUUUGGUGUAGGGGCUAAUAGGUUGAGUCUGUUCGACUUUUAAAAUUUU
rnacentral:rRNA from 1 species